UGGUUCUGGCAUCGAUGAAGAACGCAGCGAAAUGCGAUAAGUAAUGUGAAUUGCAGAAUUCAGUGAAUCAUCGAAUCUUUGAACGCACAUUGCGCCCUCUGGUAUUCCGGGGGGCAUGCUUGUUCGAGCGUCAUUACACCACUCAAGCUAAGCUUGGUAUUGGGAAGCUGCUCCUCCGGGGGCAUUCCUAAAAAUAAGCGGCAGAGCAACUAGAAUUCUCAGCGCAGUAAAUUUUCAUCUCGUUGUGGAAGGCUAGCUAUUCUCGCCGGAAACCAGCUGUUUAGGCAGCUAUUUUUUCCAUGGUUGACCUCGGAUCAAGUAGGGAUACCCGCUGA
rnacentral:misc_RNA from 1 species